rnacentral:rRNA from 1 species
CCUACGGGUGGCAGCAGUGGGGAAUAUUGCACAAUGGGGGAAACCCUGAUGCAGCGACGCCGCGUGAGUGAAGAAGUAUUUCGGUAUGUAAAGCUCUAUCAGCAGGGAAGAAGAUGACGGUACCUGACUAAGAAGCCCCGGCUAACUACGUGCCAGCAGCCGCGGUAAUACGUAGGGGGCAAGCGUUAUCCGGAUUUACGGGGUGGAAAGGGAGCGUAGACGGCAGGGCCAGUCUUGAGUGAAAGCGCGGGGCGCAACCCCGGGACUGCUUUGGAAACUGCCAUGCUAGAGUGCUGGAGAGGUAAGCGGAAUUCCUAGUGUAGCGGUGAAAUGCGUAGAUAUUAGGAGGAACACCAGUGGCGAAGGCGGCUUACUGGACAGUAACUGACGUUGAGGCUCGAAAGCGUGGGGAGCAAACAGGAUUAGAUACCCCUGUAGUC